rnacentral:rRNA from 1 species
GACGAACGCUGGCGGCGUGCUUAACACAUGCAAGUCGAACGGAAAGGCCCUGCUUUUGUUGGGUGCUCGAUUGGCGCACGGGUGAGUAACACGUGAGUAACCUGCACUUGUCUUUGUGAUAACUUCAGGAAACUGGGGCUCAUACCGGAUAGGAGCUCCUGCUGCAUGGUGGGGGUUGGUAAGUUUCGGCGGUUGGGGAUGGACUCGCGGCUUAUCCGCCUGUUUGUGGGGUAGUGGCUUACCAAGGCUUUGACGGGUAGCCGGCCUGAGAGGGUGACCGGCCACAAGGGGACUGAGGUAGGGAGCAGACUGCUACGGGAGGCAGUAGUGGGGAGCAUUGCACAAUGGGCGGAAGCCUGAUGCAGCAACGCCGCGUGCGUGAUGACGGCCUUCGGGGUGUAAACCGCUUUCGCCUUUGACGAAGCGGGAGUGACGGUAAUUAGUAAAGAAGCACCGGCUAACUACGUG